GGAUGUGAGGCGAUCUGGCGGGGACAUCCGUCACCCCACUGAUCACCACGGUUGAUUCGGCCGAUCUGACUGGCUAGGCAGGUGUCCCCUUCCACCCCCACCACUCCAUGUGCAUCCCUAGUGAAGCUGCGAAAAGGUUGACCGUCCCCGAUAGAGGAGAACCAUUCUUCCGUCAAGGGUAUAUAAGUAGCUGCGCUCCCCCUCUAGAACCUCCAAACAAGCUCUCGAAGGGUUUCCUAAGAUCUAAAAAAGUCAUGCAGGUAAAUGCUUUUGCCCU
rnacentral:snRNA from 1 species